CAACUGACGCUAAUGCUCGAAAGUGCGGGUAUCGAACAGGAUUAGAUACCCUGGUAGUCCGCACGGUAAACGAUGGAUGCCCGCUGUUGGCGAUACAAUGUCAGCGGCCAAGCGAAAGCGUUAAGCAUCCCACCUGGGGAGUACGCCGGCAACGGUGAAACUCAAAGGAAUUGACGGGGGCCCGCACAAGCGGAGGAACAUGUGGUUUAAUUCGAUGAUACGCGAGGAACCUUACCCGGGCUUGAACUGCAGCAGAACGAUUGAGAGAUCAUGAGGCCCUUCGGGGCUGCUGUGGAGGUGCUGCAUGGUUGUCGUCAGCUCGUGCCGUGAGGUGUCGGCUUAAGUGCCAUAACGAGCGCAACCCUUUUCAUUAGUUGCCAUCAGGUAAUGCUGGGCACUCUGGUGAUACUGCCACCGUAAGGUGUGAGGAAGGUGGGGAUGACGUCAAAUCAGCACGGCCCUUACGUCCGGGGCUACACACGUGUUACAAUGGGGGGUACAGAGAGUCGGAUGUACGCAAGUACAUUCUAAUCCUAAAAGCCUUCCUCAGUUCGGAUUGGGGUCUGCAACCCGACCCCAUGAAGCUGGAUUCGCUAGUAA
rnacentral:rRNA from 1 species